CAGAUGUCCACUUCUAGCAACGAGCAAGCAAGACUACCGAAUUGCGGAUUUCGGAGACCCCGAGGUACCAACCAAGGAAACAGAGGCGGAGAAACCACAGCGAAUCCGAAUACCACCAGAGUCAUCAGAUCACAGGUAUCCUAGAUAGAUCCACUAGGACCAUGCCGCAGGAGAUAUGACUGCCAUGAUACAUUUACCGAUAUGCACUGCUUUCUACUUAUAUAGAAAAAAG